CAGAAAGAGUGGAUCUGAGGCAUCAAACAAUGGAUGAGAGAAGAAAUUCAGACGAAUGGAUGAUAGAUUAUGCACUUCAACUGGCUGUUACAAACUUAGGUCCAGCCCGGAAGAAGAAGGUGGCUCUGCUUGUCGAAGCUUUCGAAACCGUCCUUCCAUUGCCUAUGUGUGAAAAACCUCUCAGACAUGGCACAUCAGCCUUCAAUCAUCUGAGUUUUAUUCAAGCAUGCAGCUAAUACUCUCACAGAUUACUUUGAGUAAUUAGGCUGCGAUUGAAUGAGAUUUGGACAUAAGAAAUCUUUAAUGGCCGGAUUGACGUAAGAAUUCCUUAACCAAGAAUUUAGUACUGAUAUAUAAGAGUGUGAUGUUUGUCUCCAUGAACAAUUCUGUUCUGCUUGUUAAAAAGGUGUGUCUGGCUUUAUAAAUGAUAUGAAUUGCUUAAACUACAACUGCUUUUAUGUAUUUUCUUCUAAAGUGAAAUCAAAUAUGUAUUUAUGUGUUU